UUGACGGGGCCCGCACAAGCGGUGGAGCAUGUGGUUAAUUCGAAGCAACGCGAAGAACCUUACCAGGCCUUGACAUGCAGAGAACUUUCCAGAGAUGGAUUGGUGCCUUCGGGAACUCUGACACAGGUGCUGCAUGGCUGUCGUCAGCUCGUGUCGUGAGAUGUUGGGUUAAGUCCCGUAACGAGCGCAACCCUUGUCCUUAGUUACCAGCACGUUAUGGUGGGCACUCUAAGGAGACUGCCGGUGUUAAACCGGAGGAAGGUGGGGAUGACGUCAAGUCCUCAUGGCCUUUAUGACCAGGGCUACACACGUACUACAAUGGCCGAUACAAAGGGCAGCGACACUGCGAGGUGAAGCCAAUCCCGUAAAAUCGGUCUCAGUCCGGAUUGGAGUCUGCAACUCGACUCCAUGAAGUUGGAAUCGCUAGUAAUCGUGGAUCAGCAUGCCACGGUGAAUACGUUCCCGGGCCUU
rnacentral:rRNA from 1 species